UGCAUUUUGGGCUAUUUUGGUGCAUUUUGGGCUAUUUUGGGUGGAUUUUGGGCUAUUUUGGGUGGAUUUUGGGCUAUUUUGGGUGGAUUUUGGGCUAUUUUGGGUGGAUUUGGGGCUAUUCUGGGUGGAUUUUGGGCUAUUUUGGGUGGAUUUUGGGAUAUUUUGGGUGCAUUUUGGGUUAUUUUGGGUGGAUUUUGGGAUAUUUUGGGUGCAUUUUGGGUUAUUCUGGGUGGAUUUGGUCGCGUUCUGUCGCGUUCCCGUUGCGUUGCGCGCUCCCCGACGCGCCCGGCGCCGGCGCAGGUUUUCCUGCAGGACACCUUCGGCCUGAAGACGCUGUGGGGCCGGGGGGCCCUGGGGGGCUGCGCCGUGCCCGGGGUGCCCCACACGGCCUGGCACAGCCACCGGGGGGUCUACGAGCGCUGCAUCCGGCCCUGGCUCACCUGAGAGCGAUCUAUAGGGGAUCCAUAGGGGAUCUGUGGGGCUGGGAGGGAUCUAUGGGGGUUUCUAUGGGAUCUAUG
rnacentral:lncRNA from 1 species